ACGGAGAGUUUGAUCCUGGCUCAGGAUGAACGCUGGCGGCGUGCUUAACACAUGCAAGUCGAACGCACCUUCGGGUGAGUGGCGGACGGGUGAGUAACGCGUGGGAACCUGCCCUCAGGAGGGGGAUAACGGCUGGAAACGGCCGCUAAUACCCCAUAUGCCGAGAGGUGAAAUGAGUUUCGCCUGAGGAUGGGCCCGCGUCUGAUUAGCUAGUUGGUGGGGUAAAGGCCUACCAAGGCGACGAUCAGUAGCUGGUCUGAGAGGAUGAUCAGCCACACUGGGACUGAGACACGGCCCAGACUCCUACGGGAGGCAGCAGUGGGGAAUUUUCCGCAAUGGGCGAAAGCCUGACGGAGCAACGCCGCGUGAGGGAUGAAGGCCUCUGGGCUGUAAACCUCUUUUCUCAAGGAAGAAGAUCUGACGGUACUUGAGGAAUAAGCCACGGCUAAUUCCGUGCCAGCAGCCGCGGUAAUACGGGAGUGGCAAGCGUUAUCCGGAAUUAUUGGGCGUAAAGCGUCCGCAGGUGGCCCUGUAAGUCUGUCGUUAAAGCGUGGAGCUUAACUCCAUUUAAGCGAUGGAAACUACAGGGCUAGAGUGUGGUAGGGGCAGAGGGAAUUCCCGGUGUAGCGGUGAAAUGCGUAGAUAUCGGGAAGAACACCAGUGGCGAAGGCGCUCUGCUGGGCCAUCACUGACACUCAUGGACGAAAGCCAGGGGAGCGAAAGGGAUUAGAUACCCCUGUAGUCCUGGCCGUAAACGAUGAACACUAGGUGUCGGGGGAAUCGACCCCCUCGGUGUCGUAGCCAACGCGUUAAGUGUUCCGCCUGGGGAGUACGCACGCAAGUGUGAAACUCAAAGGAAUUGACGGGGGCCCGCACAAGCGGUGGAGUAUGUGGUUUAAUUCGAUGCAACGCGAAGAACCUUACCAGGGUUUGACAUCCUGCGAAUCCCUUGGAAACGAGGGAGUGCCUUCGGGAGCGCAGAGACAGGUGGUGCAUGGCUGUCGUCAGCUCGUGUCGUGAGAUGUUGGGUUAAGUCCCGCAACGAGCGCAACCCACGUCGUUAGUUGCCAGCAUUCAGUUGGGCACUCUAGCGAGACCGCCGGUGAUAAACCGGAGGAAGGUGUGGAUGACGUCAAGUCAUCAUGCCCCUUACAUCCUGGGCUACACACGUACUACAAUGCUACGGACAAAGGGCAGCAAGCUCGCGAGAGUUAGCAAAUCCCAUAAACCGUGGCUCAGUUCAGAUCGUAGGCUGCAACUCGCCUACGUGAAGGAGGAAUCGCUAGUAAUCGCAGGUCAGCAUACUGCGGUGAAUACGUUCCCGGGCCUUGUACACACCGCCCGUCACACCAUGGAAGUUGGCCACGCCCGAAGUCGUUACUCCAACCCUUGUGGAGGAGGA
rnacentral:rRNA from 1 species